GGGAGCUUAGCUCAGCUGGUUCAGAGCGUCUGCCUUACAAGCAGAGGGUCGGGGGUUCGAAUCCCUCAGUUCCCACCA
rnacentral:tRNA from 1 species